UUCCAUUCAUUUAUCUUGCCCUAUGUAGUUGUGUUGCUUCCUCCUUGAUAUGUUCUCUCUUUCCACACAUCUCUCGAUCUGUUCUCUCUUUCCACACAUCAACGACCACUGCGUGUAGCUAGAUCAGGCAACUCGAGGGGGCUGGAGAUCCACUGGACGCUCUCCGGUGAUGCUGCACCCGCGGUAGCAGUGGAGACUUUUUGCUGCGGGCUGCAAGUCGGCUCGGCUACCAUUCCAUAUGUGCUUUUCUGCUGGAGUCAGGAGGUGCAGGUCGACAGCGGCGGCGAUGGCAUGCUAUGAUGGGCGGCGCCAGUGCAAGUUGCAGAAUCCAACGUCUAGCAAAGCUGCAUCCGGCAGGGGGGGUUGACGGGGGGAUAAACCAUGGGUAGCCUCAUCCACAUCCCAGCAGAUUUCGAGACAUCAGGGCUAGCCUAACCCCUCAGUAUGACUGGUCGCAAGGCCGGCCCCCGUGGUCGGCUGGCGCCAACGGGCCGCCUCCUAGAAGGCGACGCAUCCCAGUAUGCGCCGAGGGCACGGGCCGAUCCCUACCAGGCAGCCCUUUGCCUCCUCAAAGUCUGCACCCACCUGCUACGACAAGUCAGGGCAUGGCAACAGUGCCACCUGCCACCCUCGAAUCCCGGACAGAACGUGGCCAUAGUGUGGGUAUACCAGGCGGACAUCCCUCACCUGACAAGACACUGUAGCCACGCGGCCCACGAUGGUCCCUACGUCGGGGAGGGCCAUGCCCCCACGACGGACGGUAGGUGUGGCCUGCCGGUGGCGGGCCCCACCUGCCUGUGUAUCACCAGAAGGCGGCAAGGCCUAAGCAGGCGGCCGUCCCUUCCCUUGGAGUCCAUGCGCCAUUAACUAGAAGUGACGGUGUGGCUAUAGUGAUCGCCCUCCAGGCGGCGGUAUUGUAGCCAUACACCCCCCCCCCCGACCAAGCUACCGUCAUCAGAGGCAAGGCUACAGUGCGACCUAGUCCUCCUGGCCCACAGGCGGCGGGCCCUACCUGUCGGCCGAGACCGUGACAGUUGGCAGGGCCCACCAGGCGGCGGACCCCAGCUAUCAGCAGAGAAGCCGGAGCCCAUAGACAUUGACGGGCGGGUCCUACGACCAGCUGGAUUACCAUUGUACCCCUGGGGGUAGGCCUAUAUAAGCCCCCCAGGGUCACCCAUGCAAAGGGUUCAACCCCUAGUUCACCAUUCCACCCACAUAGGUAAGGAGGAGUAGAGCAAGCUUGCCUUCUUCCUCCUCUAGCCGAAACAGCUCAAGGAGCACUUUGUAGCCCGCUAUUUGAUCAUAGUGAUGCAGACACCCCGCAGAGCAGGAUUAGGGGUGUUAUAUCCA